rnacentral:rRNA from 1 species
UACGUAGGUUCCAAGCGUUGUUCGGAUUUACUGGGCGUAAAGGGCGCGUAGGCGGCUUGACAAGUCACUUGUGAAAUCUCCGGGCUUAACUCGGAACGGCCAAGUGAAACUGUCAUGCUAGAGUGCAGAAGGGGCAAUCGGAAUUCUUGGUGUAGCGGUGAAAUGCGUAGAUAUCAAGAGGAACACCUGAGGUGAAGACGGGUUGCUGGGCUGACACUGACGCUGAGGCGCGAAAGCCAGGGGAGCAAACGGG